GUGCUACAAUGGCAUAUACAAAGAGAAGCGACCUCGCGAGAGCAAGCGGACCUCAUAAAGUAUGUCGUAGUCCGGAUUGGAGUCUGCAACUCGACUCCAUGAAGUCGGAAUCGCUAGUAAUCGUAGAUCAGAAUGCUACGGUGAAUACGUUCCCGGGCCUUGUACACACCGCCCGUCACACCAUGGGAGUGGGUUGCAAAAGAAGUAGGUAGCUUAACCUUCGGGAGGGCGCUUACCACUUUGUGAUUCAUGACUGGGGUGAAGUCGUAACAAGGUAACCGUAGGGGAACCUGCGGUUGGA
rnacentral:rRNA from 1 species